rnacentral:rRNA from 1 species
UGGGGAAUAUUGGACAAUGAGCGAAAGCCUGAUCCAGCCAUGCCGCGUGUGUGAAGAAGGUCUUCGGAUUGUAAAGCACUUUAAGUUAAGAGGAAGGGCAUUAACCUAAUACGUUGGUGUCUUGACGUUACCGACAGAAUAAGCACCGGCUAACUCUGUGCCAGCAGCCGCGGUAAUACAGAGGGUGCAAGCGUUAAUCGGAAUUACUGGGCGUAAAGCGCGCGUAGGUGGUUAGUUAAGUUGGAUGUGAAAUCCCCGGGCUCAACCUGGGAACUGCAUUCAAGACUGACUGACUAGAGUAUGGUAGAGGGUGGUGGAGUUUCCUGUGUGGCGGUGAGAUGCGUGGAUAUAGGAAGGAGCACCAGUGGCGAAGGCGACCACCUGGACUGAUACUGACACUGAGGUGCGAAAGCGUGGGGAGCAAACA